rnacentral:sRNA from 1 species
CCCGGCCUGACAGACAGACCUAUAAAAAUGUACUUUGCGUUAUGUUCCAGAAAACCUUCUUAUCAGUUUUGCUGCUGAAGUCUUUCCUUUCAUAAACAGGCACAUCACAUAGAUUAUUCUUUUUGGCUACAUCCGCAUCUAUGCGCCUUAAACACAAAAAUUUUAGGAGACAUCAUGUCUAAAGCAACUGGUACCGUUAAGUGGUUCAACGAAGAGAAAGGUUUUGGUUUCAUCACUCAGGACAACGGUGGUGCAGACGUAUUCGUUCACUUCCGUGCUAUCGCUUCUGAAGGCUUCAAAACUCUGGCUGAAGGCCAGCAAGUUUCUUUCGACGUUGAGCAAGGCCAGAAAGGUCCUCAAGCUGCAAACGUUGUUAAGCUGUAAUUUCAGCUUAAAGUAAAAAGAUGCCGGUUUAUCCGGCAUUUUUUGU